GGCGCCUUAGCUCAGCUGAAUAGAGCAUUUGACUACGGAUCAAAAGGUCGUAGGUUUGAAUCCUACAGGCGUCACCA
rnacentral:tRNA from 1 species